rnacentral:tRNA from 1 species
GGAGCAGUACUCAAGAGGCUGAAGAGGCGCCCCUGCUAAGGGUGUAGACCGGGAAUACUGGUGCGAGGGUUCAAAUCCCUCCUGCUCCGCCA